UACGUAGGGGGCGAGCGUUGUCCGGAUUUAUUGGGCGUAAAGAGCGUGUAGGCGGCCAGGUAGGUCUGCUGUGAAAACUCGAGGCUCAACCUCGAGACGUCGGCGGAAACCAUCUGGCUAGAGUCCGGAAGAGGAGAGUGGAAUUCCUGGUGUAGCGGUGAAAUGCGCAGAUAUCUGGAGGAACACCGGUGGCGAAGGCGGCAUCCUGGACCGGUAUUGACACUGAGGCGCGAAAGCCAGGGGAGCAAACGGG
rnacentral:rRNA from 1 species